GUUGUAUGGUUCAGUGACUAAGCGUACACGGUGGAUGCCUGGGCAGUCAGAGGCGAUGAAGGACGUACUAACUUGCGAUAAGCGGGGAUAAGGCAGUAAGAGCCGUUUAAGUCUGCGAUUUCCUAAUGGGGAAACCCAACCGCAUAAGCAGUUACUGUUAACUGAAUACAUAGGUUAAUAGAGCAAACCGGGGAACUGAAACAUCUAAGUACCCGGAGGAGAAGAAAUAAACCGAGAUUCCGGUAGUAGCGGCGAGCGAACCUGGAUUACCCCUUAAGCACUCGGUGAAGUAGGUGAACAAGCUGGAAAGCUUGGCGAUACAGGGUGAUAGCCCAGGAACCAACGCUUCAUCGAGCGUGAAAUCGAGUAGGGCGGGACACGUGAUAUCCUGUCUGAAUAUGGGGACCAUCCUCCAAGGCUAAAUACUCCUGACUGACCGAUAGUGAACCAGUACCGUGAGGAAAAGGCGAAAAGAACCCUGUGAGGGGAGUGAAAUACAACCUGAAACCGUGUACGUACAAGGAGUAGGAGCACCUUCGUGGUGUGACUGCGCACCUUUGUAUAAUGGGUCAGCGACUUAUAUUCAGUGGCAAGGUUAACCGUAUAGGGAGCAGUAGCGAAAGCGAGUCUUAACUGGGCGCUCAGUCUCUGGAUAUAGACCCGAAACCGGGUGAUUUAGCCAUGGGCAGGUUGAAGGUUGAGUAACAUCAACUGGAGGACCGAACCGACUAAUGUUGAAAAAUUAGCGGAUGACUUGUGGAUAGGGUGAAAGGCCAAUCAAACUCGGAGAUAGCUGGUUCUCCCCGAAAGCUAUUUAGGUAGCGCCUCGGACGAAUACUACUGGGGUAGAGCACUGUUAAGGCUAGGGUCAUCCCGACUUACCAACCCUUUGCUAACGCGAAUACCAGUAAGUGCUAUCCGGGAGACACACGGCGGGUGCUAACGUCCGUCGUGGAGAGGGAAACAACCCAGACCGCCAGCUAAGGUCCCAAAGUAUUGCUAAGUGGGAAACGAUGUGGGAAGGCUCAGACAGCUAGGAUGUUGGCUUAGAAGCAGCCAUCAUUUAAAGAAAGCGUAAUAGCUCACUAGUCGAGUAGGCCUGCGGGGGAGAUGUAACGGGGCUAAGCAAUACACCGAAGCUGCGGCAAUGUCUUUGGACAUUGGGUAGGGGAGCGUUCUGUAUGCCGCUGAAGGUGAAUCGUAAGGUUUGGUGGAGGUAUCUGAAGUGCGAAUGCCGACAUGAGUAACGACAAAGGGGUGAAAACCUCCUCGCCGGAAGACCAAGGGUUCCUGUCCAACGUUAAGGGGGGCAGGGUGAGUCGACCCUAAGGUGAGGCCGAAAGGCGUAAUCGAUGGGAAACGGGUUAAUAUUCCCGCCCUUUGACUAUUGCGAUGGGGACGGAGAAGGCUAGGUGGGCCAGGCGACGGUUGUCCUGGUUCAAGUGCGUAGGCUUGAGAGUUAGGUAAAACCGGCUCUCUCUAAGGCUGAGACACGACGUCGAGCUGCUACGGCAGUGAAGUCAUUGAUGCCAUGCUUCCAGGAAAAGCCUCUAAGCUUCAGAUCGUUAGGAAUCGUACCCGAAAUCGACACAGGUGGUCGGGUAGAGAAUACCAAGGCGCUUGAGAGAACUCGGGUGAAGGAACUAGGCAAAAUGGUACCGUAACUUCGGGAGAAGGUACGCUCUUGAUGGUGAAUUCCCCCGCGGAUGGAGCUGACGAGAGUCGCAGAUACCAGGUGGCUGCAACUGUUUAUUAAAACGCAGCACCGUGCAAAAUCGCAAGAUGACGAAUACGGUGUGACGCCAACCCGGUGCCGGAAGGUUAAUUUAUGGGUUUAGCGCAAGCGAAGCUCUUGAUCGAAGCCCCGGUAAACGGCGGCCGUAACUAUACCGGUCCUAAGGUAGCGAAAUUCCUUGUCGGGUAAGUUCCGACCUGCACGAAUGGCGUAAUGAAGGCCACGCUGUCUCCACCCGAGACUCAGUGAAAUUGAAAUCGCUGUGAAGAUGCAGUGUACCCGCGGCUAGACGGAAAGACCCCGUGGACCUUUCCUACAGCUUGGCACUGAACAUAGAACCUACAUGUGGGAUAGGUGGGAGGCUAUGAAGACGUGUUGCCAGUUGCGUUGGUGCCGUCCUGAAAUACUACCCUUGUAUGUUUGAUGUUCUAACUUAGACCCAUUAUCUGGGUUGAGGACAGUGCCUGGUGGGUAGUUUGACUUGGGCGGUCUCCUCCCAAAGAGUAACGGAGGAGCACGAAGGUGGGCUAAUCACGGUUGGACAUCGUGAGGUUAGUGCAAUGGCAUAAGCCCGCUUAACUGCGAGAAUGACGGUUCGAGCAGGUGCGAAAGCAGGUCAUAGUGAUCCGGUGGUUCUGUAUGGAAGGACCAUCGCUCAACGGAUAAAAGGUACUCCGGGGAUAACAGGCUGAUACCGCCCAAGAGUUCAUAUCGACGGCGGUGUUUGGCACCUCAAUGUCUGCUCAUCACAUCCUGGGGCUGAAGUCGGUCCCAAGGGUAUGGCAGUUCGCCAUUUAAAGUGGUACGAGAGCUGGGUUUACAACGUCGUGAGACAGUUCGGUCCCUAUCUGCCGUGGGAGUUGGAAGAUUGAAGGGGCUGCUCCUAGUACGAGAGGACCGGAGUGGACGAACCUCUGGUGUUCGGGUUGUGUCGCCAGACGUAUUGCCCGGUAGCUAAGUUCGGAAUUGAUAAGCGUUGAAAGCAUCUAAGCGCGAAGCGAGCCCAGAGAUGAGUCUUCCCUGAUACUUUAAGGAUCCUAAAGGGUUGUUCGAGACUAGAACGUUGAUAGGCAGGGUGUAAGCGUUGUGAGGCGUUGAGCUAACCUGUACUAAUUGCCCGUGAGGUUUAACCAUACAACACCCAAGGGUUU
rnacentral:rRNA from 1 species